GAUGAACGCUGGCGGCGUGCCUAAUACAUGCAAGUCGAGCGAAUGGAUUAAGAGCUUGCUCUUAUGAAGUUAGCGGCGGACGGGUGAGUAACACGUGGGUAACCUGCCCAUAAGACUGGGAUAACUCCGGGAAACCGGGGCUAAUACCGGAUAACAUUUUGAACCGCAUGGUUCGAAAUUGAAAGGCGGCUUCGGCUGUCACUUAUGGAUGGACCCGCGUCGCAUUAGCUAGUUGGUGAGGUAACGGCUCACCAAGGCAACGAUGCGUAGCCGACCUGGGAGGGUGAGCGGCCACACUGGGACUGAGACACGGCCCAGACUCCUACGGGAGGCAGCAGUAGGGAAUCUUCCGCAAUGGACGAAAGUCUGACGGAGCAACGCCGCGUGAGUGAUGAAGGCUUUCGUGUCGUAAAACUCUGUUGUUAGGGAAGAACAAGUGCUAGUUGAAUAAGCUGACACCUUGACGGUACCUAACCAGAAAGCCACGGCUAACUACGUGCCAGCCGCCGCAGUAA
rnacentral:rRNA from 1 species